rnacentral:rRNA from 1 species
GACGAACGCUGGCGGCGUGCUUAACACAUGCAAGUCGAACGAAGUGGCGAACGGGUGAGUAAUACGUGAGUAACCUGCCCUCCUUUUUGGGAUAAGCCUGGGAAACGGGGUCUAAUACCGAAUAAAGGGGGAUGGGCUCGCGGCCUAUCAGUGUGUUGGUGGGGUGAUGGCCUACCACGGCGGGGACGGGUAGCCGGCCUGAGAGGGUGACCGGGCAAAUUGGGACGGAGAUACGGCCCAGACUCCUACGGGAGGCGGAAGUGGGGGAUAUGGCACAAUGGGCGAAGGCCUGAUGCAGCGAGUCCGCGUAGGGGAUGAAGGCUUUCGGGUUGUAAACCUCGUUCGGUAUGGAACGGGUAGGUGGAGAGGAAGCGCCGGCUAACUACGUGCCAGCAGCCGCGGUAAUUC